rnacentral:lncRNA from 1 species
UUUACAGCAGAAUGAUGGUAUCAGAAGACUUCAAAUAAUUUUGAAGUUACCAUGAACUUUAAAACUUUUAUUUGAAAAUUUUAAAUAAACCAAACAUAUUAGAACCUCAAGGAAAUAUUUGUUGAACUUAGUCUAAUACUCCAAAUAUUCAAAGUGGAACCUUUGCUUCAGACAGAAGGCACUGCUCAAGCAAUUAGAAGAAUAUGAAACUACAAGAUCAGAGGAUAGAAUCUACACCAACUGGAAUAACUCUGGGGAAUAAUUUUACAAUAAUAGAUGCAUUAGUUGGAAAAACUUACGGCAAAAUAUCUCCUGCAUAAAAUAUAGAGCAUGUGGCCAAGUUAAACUUGAGGAGAAAAGAUAUUUGUAUCCCAAAGUAAAUCAUCAACAUUCUCGCACAUUUUAUCACAAAUCCUCGAGUGGUCAGAGGAGCCCUUAGGAAGAUCUCUGUUGCUUGGAAGUGACCAGUGGAUUUGAAUCUGUCUUCGGAUCAGGGGAGGAGUUAAGCAAGCAGAGGAAAGCUAGUAAGUACAGCCCAACAGUAGAAUAGGAAAUGUAUGAACUCAUUAUUUAUUGAACUUUCUUCCGGCAGAACAUGAAGUAUCGCUUGCUUUAUGAUGUCAUAGGAGAUAACAGCUAACCUGGCUAGGAGUUUGGGACAUUGGCUUUCUCCUCUCAACCUCUCAGGACGUCCAUGCUUUACAGAAGCUCACAAACAGGGAAAGAUAUUACCUGCUGUUGUUCAGAGACUAGCACGAGAAUCCACGAAUCAGCCCGAGACCAGACAUGUCUAGAAAACCUAUGGUGUCUCAGCCUGCCCUCCUCAGGAUAUGUCUAUAAUCCGGCCAAGUACCAGUGACUCAAAGGACACUACUUACACCAGAAAACACAGCAUCAGCCUGGCUUCCAGACAGAGCCCAUGUGGAUGGAACACAGCCUGAAAAGGAGGCCCAGGGCAUGGGGCUCAGACUGGAGCAGCACCAGCCAUGAACCAGAAGGGAGGCCUAGAAGCGCGACUGUGCUCCUGGGGUGACUGAGGAGCUGUCCAGCAAGUGGGAAAGGCAGGGAAGCUGAGACUUCUGCCUUGCAUGGGAGGCACCUCAGGGAUGAACCCACUACACUGAAGCCAAAUGUAGGCACCCACCAAAAGAAAAGAAAUUUCAAAGUUUUUCAAAUCUGACUGUUGAAGACACGGGUCCUGCUUCCUGCUUCUUCUGUACUUUCACCCUGAUGAUGGGAUGCUUGGCCAAAGAAGACAAGAACGCAGUGAGGACUCAUCAAGCAGUAGGACUCCACUUAAGAACAUCUGGAUAACCCUGGAACAUUAUACAUUUUUCAGUGUAUCCUACUUUUACACUCAUGGCAACAAUGAUCAGCCCUUUUAAAACAGAAGGAACGUGUCAUCGGAGCAAAGAAACCACCCUGGAUAAAUCAAAACAUCACUUUCAAUUUGCAGGUUCAGUAGAAGAACAGUGGAGAUUUUCAUUUUCAAAGCAGAUAUAGCAAAGGUCCCACUUGGGAGUGCAAUGAGUAGAGUGGGGUGAACAACUUUUACUUUCCAUAUAAUAACAAUCUGUACAUUUUCAUCUUUCUAACUUUGUGCAAAAUAAAAAAUACCUAAAAAGCCAUAAACCUUAAGUGAAAAUAUAUCUAUCCAUCCGAUCUCUUUGAAAUACACCUGCUAUCUAUAAAGCAGCAAAUGCAUUAGGGUUAAUAUUUUAAAAGAACUGCUUUGUAAAGCACAGAUUGCCCAGAAUUGUGAACAAUAACACCCAAUUUAGAACUCUAGAUUUAGCAAUUGGGCUUUCUUUAAAGUCAGAGACCGCUUUAAUGACUUAACUUUAUAAUCAUUGGGAUAAUCGUUGUACAUAUAGAAUUACAAUCAAUAAAUAUUUGUUGACUGAAAAUAGGCAGAAGUGUUUUAAGCUAAUUAUAGUUAAUUUAAUCCCUACUUAAUGAAAAUAAAAU